CGGACGGGCACGUCGGCUUCCGCUGCGGGGCCGCCGACCCCGCCGGGCUGACCGGCUGGCUCUCCCUGAUCGGUGCGGCGCCGUUCCCGCCCGUCC
rnacentral:tRNA from 1 species